UGCGUAGGUGGCGCGUUAAGUCCGUUGUGAAAUCCCUGGGCUCAACCCAGGAACUGCUUCGGAUACUGGCGUGCUUGAGGCUAGUAGGGGUCACUGGAACUGACGGUGGAGCGGUGAAAUGCGUAGAUAUCGUCAGGAACGCCGAUGGUGAAGCAGGUGACUGGGCUAGAUCUGACACUGAGGACAAAGACGUGGGGAGCGACG
rnacentral:rRNA from 1 species